UGGGGUGUAGCCAAGCGGUAAGGCACUGGGUUUUGGUCUCAGGACGCGUAGGUUCGAAUCCUACCGCCCCAG
rfam:Halanaerobium saccharolyticum subsp. saccharolyticum DSM 6643, type strain:DSM 6643, WGS project CATI01000000 data, contig: c4